rnacentral:rRNA from 1 species
ACUAUUGUCACGGGUUACCGCGGCUGCUGGCACGGAGUUAGCCGGUGCUUCUUCUGUGAGUGAUGUCCUUCCUGCCGGCUAUUAACCCGCAGGCCUUCUUCCUCACUGAAAGUGCUUUACAACCCGAAGGCCUUCUUCACACACGCGGCAUGGCUGGAUCAGGGUUGCCCCCAUUGUCCAAUAUUCCCCACUGCUGCCUCCCGUAGGAGUCUGGGCCGUGUCUCAGUCCCAGUGUGGCUGAUCACUCCUC